rnacentral:lncRNA from 1 species
AUGAAUCGCUCUCUGCCUCUCAUUCAUUCCUCUAUGAAUCCGACUCUGAUCUUCGUGAUAAAGUUGUAUCCUGGUUCUCCGAUUGUUGUGAUCCAGUCAGUCCGAUAACCGAAUCUAAUUUGCAAUACCAAGAACCCUAAAUAUAGAAUUAACACAAGCGUUUCUUUUCAUCCUUUGCCUCCAAUUAGUUCUCUUUUUUUUCAAUUGAAAGAACCUAGAUCUCAUCUCUCUACGGUCAAAAGUAACCUGGAACCCUUGAUUGUGAGACAAUGUGACCAUCGGUUUCUAAGGUUUUUGUAUUGAUUCUUGAAGGAGUCAUCGGAACUGGCGGCACUUGAAGCAUCCAAAGGAUUCGAGAGACGAUAAUGUUCCCUGUUUCAAAUCUUUUUGAGGUGCUCAGUUUUUCUGUCGACAAGGUGGUUGUGGCGUUUGAUUUAUAUGGUUAGGGUUUUCCAGAAUUGGGCUGACGGGAGAUCCGGGCACUCCAAAUAAGUGAGACAGGCAAGAGUGAGCUACUUCCGUACCAGCUUGAAGGAUUGAAUUUCUUACGUUUCUCAUGGUCUAAAGUCUAAACAAACACAUGUGAUACUUGCAGACGAAAUGGGUCUUGGGAAACGAUACAAAGUAUUGCUUUUUUGGCAUCGUUGUCUAAAGAGAAUGUCUCCCCUCAUUUAGUAGCACCGCUUUCUACAUUAAGGAAUUGGGAACAUUAAUUUGCUAUAUGGGCUGCUAAUAUGAAUGUUUCGCAUCUUCUCCACACGAAGAAGAAACAACCUUCACUUUCAGACGUUAUUGCGUUUUAUUCGCUGUUAAAAAGUUGUGUUUUUCAAGCAAACAACAAAGAAAUAGGAUGUUUUGUUUACGGUGCUACAGUUUUGAAGAAUAUAACAACAGCUAUUUGAAGAGGCGUUCACACCUUAUUUUCAAAUUGUGAAACCAUCCAAGCCGUUUAUCAUGUCUAGCAACUGCAACAUCGUGUCCAGUAGCAUAUGCAACAAUGGCACAACAACGAGCAAAGCAGGUAGUCAUCCACUUUUUACAAGGAAUGUGGUUCAAUAUUACGCACCGGCUAGCUGAACAGGUCGAUAGGGUGCGCACCAGCUAGCUGGGGAGUUUGAUUGGCUUUUACCCUAUGUUCAGGAACCGCUUGAUCAUAUCCUGUUCAAGAUGGGUCUUUCUAAAAUCAAGAUUCAAGAGCUGAUCUCCAACUAAGAGAAUCAUCAAUGCAUUAAAAGAUUCGAGGGUCUUGCGUUUUCUAGAGCAUGGCGACUCCCAAUUGAAACAUCGGAUAUCCAUUCUCAACUGAAACAGGUGUGGAGAUUACUUCUAGCUGCUAUGAAGUUUUCAUUUGCUAAUGGCAUUGAAUUGCACGUGUUUUGUGAGCUGGAUAACUUGAAGAUAUUAUCUGUGAUGAUUUUGAACAUAGUGGUGAUCACAUUCAUGCUCUACGGUUAAUAAAGACCUGCACAAUCACAUUUUCUUCAGUCUCCUUGGUGACUGGGUGAACUAAGUUCCAGCUUUUCAAGAUGAAGUUCAUGAAACUUGGAUCAAAACCGGAUUUGUUUCAGUCCAAUAGCGAAAACACUCGGUCAAAGAACUCCACCACCCAAUCCUACCGGUUAUUACUUUGUAGCAAAGAGUAUU